rnacentral:rRNA from 1 species
UACGUAGGGGGCAAGCGUUGUCCGGAUUUAUUGGGCGUAAAGAGCGUGUAGGCGGCCAUACAGGUCAGCUGUGAAAACUCGAGGCUCAACCUCGAGACGUCGGUUGAAACCGUAUGGCUAGAGUCCGGAAGAGGAGAGUGGAAUUCCCGGUGUAGCGGUGAAAUUCGUAGAUAUCGGGAGGAACACCAGUGGCGAAGGCGGCGACCUGGACGGACACUGACGCUGAGACGCGAAAGCGUGGGGAGCAAACAGG